rnacentral:tRNA from 1 species
CAGAAAGUAGUUUAAUCUAGAAUGCCAGUUUUGGGUAUUGGUGGUGGAGUUGAGUACUUUCUUUCUGA